rnacentral:rRNA from 1 species
UACGAAGGGGGCUAGCGUUGCUCGGAAUCACUGGGCGUAAAGCGCACGUAGGCGGAUUGUUAAGUCAGGGGUGAAAUCCUGGAGCUCAACUCCAGAACUGCCUUUGAUACUGGCGAUCUCGAGUCCGGGAGAGGUGAGUGGAACUGCGAGUGUAGAGGUGAAAUUCGUAGAUAUUAGGAAGAACACCAGUGGCGAAGGCGGCUCACUGGCCCGGUACUGACGCUCAUGUGCGAAAGCGUGGGGAGCAAACAGG